GCCUAAAUAGCUCAGUUGGUAGAGCAACGCAUUCGUAACGCGUAGGUCGUCGGUUCGAGCCCGGCUUUGGGCA
rnacentral:tRNA from 3 species